GCAUGUCCAAAGCACACUACACUUUACACUUAGUUAAAUAAAAUAUAACAUGUUUUUAUUAAUAGAAAAGUGCAGAAACGUUACAUCCCUUGAUAUAUGUACAUUAGAUACAUGCAAAAUGAGGCUCUAAAAUUUUUUUCUUUCUUAUAUUAUAAAGCAAAAGUACAAAAUAGUAACUUGAGUUCUUUCAGAGCCUAACUUACAAAAGACUUCUCUGCUAUUACUGCUUACUCCUUAACGGUCUCUGCAGGAUCUAAAAAUGAAGAGAGAAUAAGAUACAUUAUCCCAAUAAGUAGAUAUCAUGAUACACAGUGUAAUACAUGCAAUAUAUAUAACUUUCACAUAUAUCAAAAUAUAUAUCUUAUACAUUUGCAAAUAAUAGAUAACUGAAUCAGAAAAUAUAUAACUAAAUCAUCACAUUCACUUGGCUACAUCACCGUUAUGGAGGGUCGUUCACAUCUUCCUAUUGCAGUGCAUGCAUAGAUGCAUACUUAACACUUAACACAUCCCCAUGCACCUGAAAACGGAACUGUUAUGCAUGGGCACACAGAAGCCUAGCAUCAUGCAGGUGCUUUCGGAAUGACUUACCUCAUUAACGAUCACUCCACACUUAUUAAAAUCACUUUUCUAAACUACAUGGACAAAAUAAUACUUAAAACAUAAUAGCACUUUCACCAAACACUUGCACUUUAUAUAUGAAAGUACGUAUAAGAUACUAAUGAAAAUACUUGAAAACUAUGUAUGUUAUGCGAUCACAAUAUCCACUUAUUUUGGGUCCUAUACAACCUUGAUUUGGGCAGAGUCCCCUCUUACACAAGCUCUAAUCACUCUACUCAAUUCGGCGGACUUUUUCCUUAUAAAACCUUUAAAUUUCUCAGUUGAUGUGGGCAGAAUCUCCCUUUAUGAAAAUCUUAAUUUCCUAUUUUCAAAUGGGCAGAAUCUCUCCUUAGUUUAUCUCAAUUUUUUACUGAAAAUUUAGCAAAUUCUCCCUUUAAGAAUAUUGAUAAUUUUUAAUUCAAAAAUACCCUCUUCAUAUGGAAAUUACAUUUCAAUGAAAAAAAGGUUUAAAUGGGCUUACCUUGUAUCACUCGCAAUCUUAACUCAGGCAGAGUUCUGACUUAAUUUGGAGUCUUUUUCUCCCAAGUAUUCGGUAGAGUUCCGAGAUAUUUUUGAGUUAUUUCUAACCUCAGAAAUAUCCUUCACAACAUUUAGAAAUUAACCUCAAAUUUCAAGAGAAACAGAACACAAUUGAUGAAGAAAACUUACCUUAAGCUCACAGAUUCGCUUAUGUUGAUUAUGAGCUUCCUCCCUCUUUUUAUCUCUUUCCUUUUGGUUUCUUCCUUCCUCUCCCUUCUUCUCAGAAUUUGGGUAGAGUUUCUUCAAGGAAAAACUCCCAAAUUCCCUCACUUCUCUUAGGUAGGCACCCUUUUUCUCUCUUUUUCUUCUAUUCUCUCUCUAUCUUCUUUCUCUUUCUAACUUUGCUCUC
rnacentral:lncRNA from 1 species